UGGGGAAUAUUGGACAAUGGGGGCAACCCUGAUCCAGCGAUGCCGCGUGAGUGAGGAAGGCCUUCGGGUUGUAAAGCUCUUUUGUCAGGGGAGAUAAUGACGGUACCUGACGAAUAAGGUCCGGCUAACUUCGUGCCAGCAGCCGCGGUAAUACGAAGGGACCUAGCGUUGUUCGGAAUUACUGGGCGUAAAGGGCGCGUAGGCGGUUUUUUAAGUCAGAUGUGAAAGCCCUGGGCUCAACCUAGGAGGUGCAUUUGAUACUGGGAGACUAGAGUACGAGAGGGGAUAGUGGAAUUGCGAGUGUAGAGGUGAAAUUCGUAGAUAUUCGCAGGAACACCAGUGGCGAAGGCGGCUAUCUGGCUCGAUACUGACGCUAAGGCGCGAGAGCGUGGGGAGCAAACAGG
rnacentral:rRNA from 1 species